AGGGAAGUAGCUUAACUGGUAAAGCAGUACGUGAGACGUAGCGUAGCUGAAAGACGUUCGACUCGUCGUGAAUAGUGGUGUUUCUGAUGUGGGUUCGAGCCCCACUUUCCCUA
rnacentral:tRNA from 1 species